rnacentral:rRNA from 1 species
AGAGUUUGAUCCUGGCUCAGAACGAACGCUGGCGGCAGGCUUAAUACAUGCAAGUCGAACGGCUGUAGCAAUACAGCAGUGGCAGACGGGUGAGUAACACGUGGGAACCUACCUAGGGGUACGGAAUAACUCAGGGAAACUUGUGCUAAUACCGUAUACGACCUCAGGGUGAAAGAUUUAUCGCCCCUAGAUGGGCCCGCGCUGGAUUAGCUAGUUGGUGGGGUAAAAGCCUACCAAGGCGACGAUCCAUAGCUGGUCUGAGAGGAUGAUCAGCCACACUGGGACUGAGACACGGCCCAGACUCCUACGGGAGGCAGCAGUAGGGAAUCUUGGACAAUGGGCGAAAGCCUGAUCCAGCCAUGCCGCGUGAGUGAUGAAGGCCUUAGGGUUGUAAAGCUCUUUUACCCGGGAUGAUAAUGACAGUACCGGGAGAAUAAGCCCCGGCUAACUCCGUGCCAGCAGCCGCGGUAAUACGGAGGGGGCUAGCGUUGUUCGGAAUUACUGGGCGUAAAGCGCACGUAGGCGGCGAUUUAAGUCAGAGGUGAAAGCCCGGGGCU